rfam:Haemonchus contortus, ISE/inbred ISE, WGS project CAVP01000000 data, contig: Hcontortus_26509
GGUCCAAAUUUGAAGUAGAGUAGAUUAGUACGAUCAGUUGACCCUACUGAACUACUUUUCUUCAAAUUAGUGCCC